rnacentral:rRNA from 1 species
UACGUAGGGGGCAAGCGUUGUCCGGAAUUAUUGGGCGUAAAGAGCGUGUAGGCGGCCCGGUAAGUCCGCUCUGAAAGUCCAGGGCUUAACCCUGGAAAGCGGGUGGAUACUGCCGGGCUUGAAUCCGGAAGAGGCGAGUGGAAUUCCUGGUGUAGCGGUGGAAUGCGCAGAUAUCAGGAGGAACACCAAUGGCGAAGGCAGCUCGCUGGGACGUGACUGACGCUGAGACGCGAAAGCGUGGGGAGCAAACAGG